CAAGUCGAACGGUAACGGGCCCGCAAGGGUGCCGACGAGUGGCGGACGGGUGAGGAAUACAUCGGAAUUUGCCCAGUCGUGGGGGAUAACGUAGGGAAACUUACGCUAAUACCGCAUACGACCGGAAGGUGAAAGCGGGGGAUCGCAAGACCUCGCGCGAGUGGAUGAGCCGAUGUCGGAUUAGCUAGUUGGUGGGGUAAAGGCCCACCAAGGCGACGAUCCGUAGCUGGUCUGAGAGGAUGAUCAGCCACACUGGGACUGAGACACGGCCCAGACUCCUACGGGAGGCAGCAGUGGGGAAUAUUGGACAAUGGGGGCAACCCUGAUCCAGCAAUGCCGCGUGUGUGAAGAAGGCCUUCGGGUUGUAAAGCACUUUUGUCCGGAACGAAACGUGUCGGGUGAAUAUCCCGGCAAACUGACGGUACCGGAAGAAUCAGCACCGGCUAACUUCGUGCCAGCAGCCGCGGUAAUACGAAGGGUGCAAGCGUUACUCGGAAUUACUGGGCGUAAAGCGUGCGUAGGUGGUUUUUUAAGUCCGUUGUGAAAGCCCUGGGCUCAACCUGGGAAUGGCAGUGGAUACUGGAAAGCUAGAGUGCGGUAGAGGGUAGUGGAAUUCCCGGUGUAGCAGUGAAAUGCGUAGAGAUCGGGAGGAACACCAGUGGCGAAGGCGGCUACCUGGACCAGCACUGACACUGAGGCACGAAAGCGUGGGGAGCAAACAGGAUUAGAUACCCUGGUAGUCCACGCCCUAAACGAUGCGAACUGGACGUUGGGUGCAACUUGGCACUCAGUGUCGAAGCUAACGCGUUAAGUUCGCC
rnacentral:rRNA from 1 species